AUACGUAGGGGGCAACCGUUAUCCGGAUUUACUGGGCGUAAAGGGAGCGUAGACGGCAUGGCAAGUCUGAAGUGAAAGCCCGGGGCUCAACCCAGGGACUGACUUGGAAACCUCCAGGCUAGAGGGCUGGAGAGGCAAGUGGAAUUCCCAGUGUAGCGGUGAAACGCGUAGAUAUUAGGGGGAACACCAGUGGCGAAGGCGGCUUACUGGACAGUGACUGACGUUGAGGCUCGAAAGCGUGGGGAGGAAACAGGAUUAGAUACCCUGGUAGUCCACGCCGUAAACGAUGACUACUAGGUGUCGGGUAGCAAAGCUAUUCGGUGCCGCAGCAAACGCAAUAAGUAGUCCACCUGGGGAGUACGUUCGCAAGAAUGAAACUCAAAUGAAUUGGCGGGG
rnacentral:rRNA from 1 species